GCUAGGCUGCGUAUGGUGAAGGAUCCUGCCAGGAGCUCUAGGCAGUUAAUAUAUAGGUUUAGUUCCUGUGAAGUCCAGGUGCCUCCUGUCAAUAUGCGAGAGAAUAUGAGAGGUCCUCCAUUUCUUUGAUGGUCUCUAGUUUGGAGAUCCAUUCUCUGAUUGUUGGUGGUUUGUCUUGUUUCCAUUUGGUGGGGAUUAGGCCGUUAGAAGCUGUGAGUAGAUGGUUGAUCAGUAUGUGGUAUGAUUUGGGAAGGUGGGUUGGGUAUCACAUGAAGAGUA